GCCAAUUGGGUGUGAAAAUCAGAUUUGAAAAAGAGAUUCAGUAUUUCAGAACCAAAAGAAUUUUUGUACCACUGCUCACUGCCAACUAAAGUGAGGCUUGGCUGUUGAGCGGCCAUGUUAAUCAAAAAAAAUUGUUUUAUGAUUUUGACUAGAUUUUUAAAGCUAUUUCCUUCUAACAGAUAGUUUUUGUAUCCUUUAUAUACUCCACAUGAUUUUGGCUUUGUAUAGAAUUAAAUAGUAUUAGAGAACACAUUAGAAAUGCAAAAUCAUUGUAAUCUUUCUCCAUAUUUUAGUGAAUUCUCACCAUGUACAAAUUUCUUGUAUUGUGAUUGCUAC
rnacentral:lncRNA from 1 species